rnacentral:rRNA from 1 species
GUGGGGAAUAUUGGACAAUGGGCGAAAGCCUGAUCCAGCAAUGCCGCGUGAGUGAUGAAGGCCUUAGGGUUGUAAAGCUCUUUUACCCGGGAUGAUAAUGACAGUACCGGGAGAAUAAGCUCCGGCUAACUCCGUGCCAGCAGCCGCGGUAAUACGGAGGGAGCUAGCGUUGUUCGGAAUUACUGGGCGUAAAGCGCACGUAGGCGGCUUUGUAAGUUAGAGGUGAAAGCCUGGAGCUUAACUCCAGAACUGCCUUUAAGACUGCAUCGCUUGAAUCCAGGAGAGGUGAGUGGAAUUCCGAGUGUAGAGGUGAAAUUCGUAGAUAGUCGGAAGAACACCAGUGGCGAAGGCGGCUCACUGGACUGGUAUUGACGCUGAGGUGCGAAAGCGUGGGGAGCAAACAGGAUUAGAAACCCUGGUAGUCC